rnacentral:rRNA from 1 species
UACGUAGGGGGCAAGCGUUGUCCGGAUUUAUUGGGCGUAAAGAGCGUGUAGGCGGCCAGGUAGGUCAGCUGUGAAAACUCGAGGCUCAACCUCGAGACGUCGGUUGAAACCACCUGGCUAGAGUCCGGAAGAGGAGAGUGGAAUUCCUGGUGUAGCGGUGGAAUGCGUAGAGAUCCGGAAGAACACCAGUGGCGAAGGCGGCCCGCUGGGCAGUGGCUGACGCUGAGGCGCGACAGCGUGGGGAGCAAACAGG